rnacentral:rRNA from 1 species
UACAGAGGUCUCAAGCGUUGUUCGGAUUCAUUGGGCGUAAAGGGUGCGUAGGUGGCGCCGUAAGUCGGGUGUGAAAUUUCGAGGCUUAACUUCGAAACUGCAUUCGAUACUGCCGUGCUUGAGGACUGGAGAGGAGACUGGAAUUUACGGUGUAGCGGUGAAAUGCGCAGAUAUCAGGAGGAACACCAGCGGCGAAGGCGGCGCUCUGGGCCGGUACUGACACUGAGGAGCGAAAGCGUGGGUAGCAAACAGG